rnacentral:rRNA from 1 species
AACGAACGCUGGCGGCAUGCCUAACACAUGCAAGUCGAACGAGACCUUCGGGUAUAGUGGCGCACGGGUGCGUAACGCGUGGGAACCUGCCCUUAGGUUCGGAAUAACUCCCCGAAAGGGGUGCUAAUACCGGAUAAUGUCUUCGGACCAAAGAUUUAUCGCCUUUGGAUGGGCCCGCGUUGGAUUAGCUAGUUGGUAGGGUAAAAGCCUACCAAGGCGACGAUCCAUAGCUGGUCUGAGAGGAUGAUCAGCCACACUGGGACUGAGACACGGCCCAGACUCCUACGGGAGGCAGCAGUGGGGAAUAUUGGACAAUGGGCGAAAGCCUGAUCCAGCAAUGCCGCGUGAGCGAUGAAGGCCUUAGGGUUGUAAAGCUCUUUUACCCGGGAUGAUAAUGACAGUACCGGGAGAAUAAGCUCCGGCUAACUCCGUG